AGCAAAGUGGUGCAGUGGCAUGUGUUGGGCCCAUAACUCAGAGGUUAAUGGAUCAAAACCAUCCUCUGCUA